CGCAAGUCUGCCAAUGGCGGGGCCAGAAACGGCCCUGCCAUCCUUCCCAAUUGGACUUCCUUAGUUAACUUCUCCCUCACCACCCCCGGAUGUUCCCUUACCGACUUAAGAUUCGCACUUAUUCCACCUGGUCCCUUUGCCUUGAAUGGGAUUUUAAAGCCCUCCAUAAAAACUUAGCGUCGUCUUAAUCAGCAUAUUGCCUUAGCCAUGGCAACAUCGCAUCGACCUUCACCGGUGACAACCCCAGCGGAAGCUGCGGGGGCCGUUGCACCUGUCGCUCCCCCUCCUGCGUUGGGCUUAUCUUGUUUGAAGCAUCUAUUGUCACCGUGGUCUGAAUCUACACGAAGCUCCCCACUUGCAUUGUCCCUCAUUGUACGACCAACAAAAACCCUUCUUCUGUCCAGCCGACACUGCACCCCCCGUGGCCGCGCCUGCUGCCCCUGGAAAGGGCGUGUUUUGCUGCGCCAUCAUAAUCCGCAUCCAUAGUGGCAGGUCCAUUUUGUCCCAGCGCAUGGACGGAUUCGCUGCUAGUCGUUGACGAAACUGUUCGUCAUACCUCCACCAUGCUAAUCCCCCAUAUGUCCACAUCCCCUAAACCGUCAAGGUAGCAGAACAGCUGUGAGCAGCAGUCUGGGCUCUUUUCACCAAUAAUGCUAGUCAGUAUACAAAAGGCCCUAAGCCAAUUCCAGAAGGUCUUUGGUAUCUUACGAUACCUCCGCCUCUUCUCUUCCUCCUCCUUUUUGGCAUCUUUCUUGCCCUCUUCUUUUAGGUCCAAAAAU